rnacentral:tRNA from 1 species
GGCCGCGUAGCUUAGCGGAUAGAGCGACAGACUUCGAAUCUGUAGGUCGCAGGUUCGAUCCCUGCCGUGGUCG